rnacentral:rRNA from 1 species
UACGGGGGGGGCAAGCGUUGUCCGGAAUCAUUGGGCGUAAAGCGCGCGUAGGUGGCUUCGUAAGUCCGUUGUGAAAGUCAAAGGCUCAACCUUUGAAUGCCGAUGGAUACUGCGAAGCUAGAGUACGGAAGAGGCGAGUGGAAUUCCUGGUGUAGCGGUGGAAUGCGCAGAUAGUCAGGAGGAACACCAAUAGCGAAGGCAGCUCGCUGGGACGGUACUGACGCUGAGACGCGAAAGCGUGGGGAGCGAACAGG